GAAGGUAUAGUUCAGUGGUAGAGUGCAUGCCUAGCAUGCGUGAGGUCCUGGGUUCAAUCCCCAGUACCUCCA
rnacentral:tRNA from 1 species